CCUACGGGAGGCAGCAGUGGGGAAUUUUGGACAAUGGGCGAAAGCCUGAUCCAGCCAUGCCGCGUGCGGGAAGAAGGCCUUCGGGUUGUAAACCGCUUUAGUCCGGGAAAAAGGGGUGCGAGGAUAAUACCCUCGUGCUUUGAUGGUACUGGAAGAAUAAGCACCGGCUAACUACGUGCCAGCAGCCGCGGUAAUACGUAGGGUGCGAGCGUUAAUCGGAAUUACUGGGCGUAAAGCGUGCGCAGGCGGUCUUGUAAGACAGUCGUGAAAGCCCCGGGCUUAACCUGGGAACUGCGAUUGUGACUGCAAGGCUAGAGUGUGUCAGAGGGGGGUGGAAUUCCACGUGUAGCAGUGAAAUGCGUAGAGAUGUGGAGGAACACCGAUGGCGAAGGCAGCCCCCUGGGAUAACACUGACGCUCAUGCACGAAAGCGUGGGGAGCAAACAGGAUUAGAUACCCUGGUAGUCCACGCCCUAAACGAUGUCAACUGGUUGUUGGAAGGGUAACCUUUUAGUAACGAAGCUAACGCGUGAAGUUGACCGCCUGGGAGUACGGUCGCAAGAUUAAAACUCAAAGGAAUUGACGG
rnacentral:rRNA from 1 species